rnacentral:rRNA from 1 species
GCGUCUGGAAAGUCGCACAGUAAAGGGUGAUAGUCCCGUACACUAAAAUGCAUUAAUUGUGAGUUCGAUGAGUAGGGCGGGACACGUGACAUCCUGUCUGAAUAUGGGGGGACCAUCCUCCAAGGCUAAAUACUCCUGACUGACCGAUAGUGAACCAGUACCGUGAGGGAANGGCGAAAAGAACCCCGGCGAGGGGAGUGAAAUAGAACCUGAAACCGUGUACGUACAAGCAGUGGGAGCACCUUCGUGGUGUGACUGCGUACCUUUUGUAUAAUGGGUCAGCGACUUAUAUUUUGUAGCAAGGUUAACCGUAUAGGGGAGCCGUAGGGAAACCGAGUCUUAACUGGGCGAAUAGUUGCAAGGUAUAGACC